rnacentral:rRNA from 1 species
UACGUAGGUGACCAGCGUUGUCCGGAUUUACUGGGCGUAAAGAGCGCGCAGGCGGUCGUUCAAGUCGAGUGUGAAAGCCCCCGGCUCAACUGGGGAGGGUCACUCGAUACUGAUCGACUUGAAGGCAGGAGAGGGAAGCGGAAUUCCCGGUGUAGUGGUGAAAUGCGUAGAUAUCAGGAGGAACACCUAUAGCGAAGGCAGCUUGCUGGGACGUUACUGACGCUAAGGCGCGAAAGCGUGGGGAGCGAACAGG